rnacentral:rRNA from 1 species
AGCGAACGCUGGCGGCAGGCCUAACACAUGCAAGUCGAACGAACCUUUCGGGGUUAGUGGCGGACGGGUGAGUAACACGUGGGAACGUGCCUUUAGGUUCGGAAUAACUCAGGGAAACUUGUGCUAAUACCGAAUGUGCCCUUCGGGGGAAAGAUUAAUCGCCUUUAGAGCGGCCCGCGUCUGAUUAGCUAGUUGGUUGAGGUAAUGGCUCACCAAGGCGACGAUCAGUAGCUGGUCUGAGAGGAUGAUCAGCCACAUUGGGACUGAGACACGGCCCAAAAUCCUACGGGAGGCAGCAGUGGGGAAUCUUGCGAAAUGGGCGAAAGCCUGACGCAGCCAUGCCGCGUGAAUGAUGAAGGUCUUAGGAUUGUAAAAUUCUUUCACCGGGGACGAUAAUGACGGUACCCGGAGAAGAAGCCCCGGCUAACUUCGUG